CCCGUCGACCUCUACUUUUGCUGUCCUUUCCACCUCGAUCUCUGUAAGCUUAGCUGCCCUCUUUCCUCCGACGAAUUAUAAAACCGAUCAGUAUUGGGGACGGCACGAUGACCGGAACAAGUCCUCGAUGUUGACGAAGUCAAACCUCGAGGGUGCAGCAACGGUGUCUCGGCCGCGCGACCAACCACGGAAAGGUCUCUUUCCGUUGGAUGUAAGCCAUGGGUCCGACGAACAAUAAGCCACCUGUCGCAUGCAUGUUGAGCUCCUCCUUGUGGGGGACCCACGGCGAAGUCAUCGAUGCCCGUCAACUCGGUACGAUUUAGAGCAGAUGAAGAAGCACCGAAGUCGCGUCGCUGCAGCUAUUAAUGGCUGUUCUCGUCGCUUCGGUUGAGCCAUUCACUAUUACAAGUAAACAUCCACUCCUGUUCAAUGUCCUCAUUCCCUCUUCUUCUCGGUAGCUCUUUGAGAUGGCUGGCUCUAGGACGAAAUGCAUCGACUUCCUCCUCAGUAUCCUUCUGCUAACCCUAGUUUUGAAUGAUGUUGGAAAGGCAUCAGCCAAAGCUGAAGAUGAUGGAAGAGGGCGAGAGCUCGAGGAAUAUUCCAUUCGCCGCCUGACAGGGUCAUGGACUCAAGGCUGGAGGAGGCUGUAUCUUCCACCACCGCCUGCCGGAAACACGUUCAAGGCACAAGUUGUCCCUUCGCCCCCUCCGCCGUCGCUUGAACGGACGCCAGAAGCGCCACCACCUUCAGCUAUGGCAUGAUGAGCGCCCACUCUGACUCUGAUAUGUUCGUCAGCCUCGGUGCACUCCUGCACAAUCCUCUUUUGGACAAAUAGACAUGGAUGCAUGCAUGUUUCAUAAGUGAUUCUAAAGCAUCAUAGCAGCCAAGUAGAUGCUCUAAAUCACUCUUUCCUCGUGAUAAUAUCACGAUACUAAGCUUUCGUCUACAAGUUGGUUCCUCUUUCGUGCUGGGAUUCUUGAUUUGAAUUAUAUAAAUUUCAAGAGUAUCCCAAGAAAUUCUUCCA